rnacentral:rRNA from 1 species
UACGUAGGGACCAAGCGUUGUUCGGAUUUACUGGGCGUAAAGGGCGCGUAGGCGGUGCGGUAAGUCACUUGUGAAAUCUCCGAGCUUAACUCGGAACGGCCAAGUGAUACUGCAGUACUAGAGUGCGGAAGGGGCAAUCGGAAUUCUUGGUGUAGCGGUGAAAUGCGUAGAUAUCAAGAGGAACACCUGAGGUGAAGACGGGUUGCUGGGCCGAUACUGACGCUGAGGCGCGAAAGCCAGGGGAGCAAACGGG